GAUGAACGCUAGCGGCAGGCUUAACACAUGCAAGUCGAGGGGUAUAGGUUUUCGGAUCUAGAGACCGGCGCACGGGUGCGUAACGCGUAUGCAAUCUACCUUUCACAGAGGGAUAGCCCAGAGAAAUUUGGAUUAAUACCUCAUAGUAUUAUAGAAUGGCAUCAUUUUAUAAUUAAAGUCACAACGGUGAAAGAUGAGCAUGCGUCCCAUUAGCUAGUUGGUAUGGUAACGGCAUACCAAGGCAACGAUGGGUAGGGGUCCUGAGAGGGAGAUCCCCCACACUGGUACUGAGACACGGACCAGACUCCUACGGGAGGCAGCAGUGAGGAAUAUUGGUCAAUGGGCGCAAGCCUGAACCAGCCAUGCCGCGUGCAGGAUGACGGUCCUAUGGAUUGUAAACUGCUUUUGCACAGGAAGAAACAACGCUACGUGUAGCGUCUUGACGGUACUGUGAGAAUAAGGAUCGGCUAACUCCGUGCC
rnacentral:rRNA from 1 species